AAUUCUCUCCGUGUUUUAGCUCUCGGGUUUUGUUUGGCUUUUGAUGUCUGAAAAUGUUUUUUUGUCAACUUAUUCUCAUUUUGCGAGUGACGGUUUAGUGUGUCUAUUAAUUAUCUGAUUUGUCCGGUUUUGGUCUUCGAUUUGUUUGGCUUUUGUUUCUUGAAGGUCCGGGCUAAUUUAGUCGGGUCAUGUAGGUUUCGUUUAUUCAGUUCAUUUAGUUUUCAAGUAUUUGUAACCUGCCUUUCGUC